rnacentral:rRNA from 1 species
GACGAACGCUGGCGGCGUGCUUAACACAUGCAAGUCGAACGGAAAGGCCCUGCUUUUGUGGGGUGCUCGAGUGGCGAACGGGUGAGUAACACGUGAGUAACCUGCCCUUGACUUUGGGGUAACUUCAGGAAACUGGGGCUAAUACCGGAUAGGAGCUCCUGCUGCGUGGUGGGGGUUGGAAAGUUUCGGCGGUUGGGGAUGGACUCGCGGCUUAUCAGCUUGUUGGUGGGGUAGUGGCUUACCAAGGCUUUGACGGGUAGCCAGCCUGAGAGGGUGACCGGCCACAUUGGGACUGAGAUACGGCCCAGACUCGUACGGGAGGCAGCAGUGGGGAAUAUUGCACAAUGGGCGGAAGCCUGAUGCAGCAACGCCGCGUGCGGGAUGACGGCCUUCGGGUUGUAAACCGCUUUCGCCUGUGACGAAGCGGGAGUGACGGUAAUUGGUAAAGAAGCACCGGCUAACUACGUG